GACGAACGCUGGCGGCGUGCUUAACACAUGCAAGUCGAGCGGAAAGGCCCUUCGGGGUACUCGAGCGGCGAACGGGUGAGUAACACGUGAGUAACCUGCCCCAGACUUUGGGAUAACCCUCGGAAACGGGGGCUAAUACCGGAUACGACACAGCUUCGCAUGGGGUCUGUGUGGAAAGUUUUUCGGUUUGGGAUGGGCUCGCGGCCUAUCAGCUUGUUGGUGGGGUGAUGGCCUACCAAGGCGACGACGGGUAGCCGGCCUGAGAGGGCGACCGGCCACACUGGGACUGAGACACGGCCCAGACUCCUACGGGAGGCAGCAGUGGGGAAUAUUGCACAAUGGGCGGAAGCCUGAUGCAGCGACGCCGCGUGAGGGAUGACGGCCUUCGGGUUGUAAACCUCUUUCAGCAGGGGCGAAGCGUAAGUGACGGUACCUGCAGAAGAAGCGCCGGCCAACUACGUG
rnacentral:rRNA from 1 species